rnacentral:tRNA from 1 species
AGAAAGUUAGUCUAAACAAGACAGCUGAUUUCGGCUCAGCAAAUUACAGAAUACACUGUAACUUUCUU